CCCUGUUCAAAAUGCAGCAAAAUAUGCAAGUCGAAAGGCGGAUUGACCAGGCACACUAAUUCGAAACAUGGCGAUAGUGUUUCAAUUCCUUCGACUACAACACCGCUUUGUUAUGAGACCAUAACUUCGAUUGUGGAUACGAUAAAAGAAAACAUUGUUAAAGAGAAGCUGUACGGGGAAAAUAUAAAUGCUGCGGUGGAAAAGGCUAUAGCGACUAAAGAAUUGUUCGACGAAGUGUUGCCUUUAUACACAAAAUUUUCUCGAAGCCGAAAUCAAGAUAAACUUCUCCAGUCGUUUUAUGGGUUAAUGCCAAAGUCCGCGGAAUUACUAAACUGUACGGAUUCGCGAGUUGCAAACCUUGUCAUGAUCCACAUCCCCGAUCAUUUGGUUGGAUUUUUAAACGUGCAAAAUGUUUCCCAAGAAAGAGACACAGAAUCUGCACCUGACUGCAAAAUUGAGCCAAGCGAACAUGGUCCUCUCUCCUAUAUUUCAGGGUAUGUAAUUUCAAAGUUAAGUAGAGCAUCAAAGUCUAAAGAGGAAAACAAUGAACUUCAAACCUUGUUACAGAAUUUAAAAUCAGAACAAGAAAACAACAGUUACAUUUUAGCCCGAACAAGAGGUGGUCUUGUAACACCUUGUGAGGAUAUUGUAAGAAUUUUACAUGAAGCAGAGAUUUGUUUCAGAAAGGAAGUUGACAAGUCAAAGCUGGCUAUUCGAAACAUUCCUGUCGAUGCAAUCUGCUAUUCCACCCUUUCCUUACCAAUUGUCAAGUCAUUAUGGCAAAAUAUUGUUAUGUCAUCUGGUGUCAAUCCAUCUGGUGAUACCCAGAAGUUAUGCCUUGAAAACAUUGUCAAACUGUAUUUGAAGGUGAGAUCAUUCUCAUAUGCCAGAGACUAUAUCUCCCGACAUAGAAUAAAAGAGAAGCAAAACAAAAAGAAAGGGCUGAGAAAGGAUUUGAAACAAAGUUCGGACAAGUCAUAAACAUGUAGACAGAACAAUAUAAAUAUGCUAUGUCAAUAUCCUUUUUUCAUGUUUAUAUACUUUAAAUAUAUUAUCUAUAUUAUAUUUUUUGGAUUCUGGUCUUAUUUUAACCAUCAAGACUUAGCCUGUUAGCCAGGUCCCUAGGUCCUUUCACUUUAUUCAAAUUUGAUUGCUAUAAUAACAAUAUACAGCUAAUUCAAAAACUUAAACCCUGACCGUGCGAGGGAUGAUGGGUUAUUGCUUAUUUAGACUCAAACUAUGAAAUUUGGCUUUGCGAGACUACCUAAGACAUAUAGAAGACUCACGACAGAAAACAUACUUGCCGCAAAGACAAUUUUCCGAGUUUAAGGGUCUAAUAAGUGAAAACCCAUCAUCCCUUGCGCGCUCAGAGUUUAAAGGUUUUAGAAGGAC